rnacentral:lncRNA from 1 species
GACCUCCCGCCCCCGCUGCGCGCGUUUCUGGCCCUGCCAGUGUCUCCGCCGGUUGAAAGCGCGUGUCUGCGUCGGGUUCUGUUGGAGUGCGUUCGGUGCGCCGUGGGUCCGCGCUGCUUCCACCCAACUUCCUGUUAGUUUCUCUCCUGUCACAAUGGCAUGAUCUCGGCUCACUGCGACCUCUGCUUCCUGGGUUCAAGGAUUCUCCUGCCUCAGCCUCCCAAGUAGCUGGGAUUACAGUUUCCAUCAUUAUCUUCUAUGGAGUUCUUCAUUCCCACAUCUGUGGACCUUAAAAUCCUACCGUUGAGUGCCUGCCUUGGAUCAGCAGUCAGUUCGUUACCUUGGUUCUCAGACGAUGCUUGCAACAACGCCAUGCGAUUCGCCCACUCUUGGAGAAAAUAAGAGAAGUAUCCCUGAAGGAUGAAAUAUCCUCGAAUAUGAAAAGGUCUGCUCUCUGAAGACCAACUGUCUCAGUCUGCUUUUUGCUGCUGUAACAGAAUACCACAGACUUGGUUACAUUAGUUAUACACUCUGGAGGUGACUUGACCUGUCAUUGUGAACAAUUAUUGCUCUUGGACGACCCAGGACAUAGGCCAGCCAGUACGUACCCCAGUGUGUUGGAGAAUCGCGCUCGGCUUCUUCCUCUGUGCUGAGUCAUGAAAGUUGCCGGAGCAGGUGCAGUUACACAACCUCCAGGUAUGAUCCUGUUUAAGGACUGGAUUUAGGAUAACUACUUAGAGGUUAAAAGUCACAAGGGUGUAUGGAUGAGGCUGGAGUGAUCUGGGACCAAAGACAUCUAGGCUUGCUGUCAAGGCUUCUGAUCAACAUGAGAUGACCGCCGUGUGGUAAACUGAUGAACCCUGACCCUGAUCAACAUGAGAUGACCGCCGUGUGGUAAACUGAUGAACCCCGACCCUGAUGAACGUGAGAUGACCGCCGUGUGGUAAACUGAUGAACCCCGACCCUGAUGAACGUGAGAUGACCGCCGUGUGGUAAACUGAUGAACCCCGACCCUGAUGAACGUGAGAUGACCGCCGUGUGGUAAACUGAUGAACCCCGACCCUGAUGAACGUGAGAUGACCGCCGUGUGGUAAACUGAUGAACCCCGACCCUGAUCAACGUGAGAUGACCGCCGUGUGGUAAACUGAUGAACCCCGACCCUGAUGAACAUGAGAUGACCGCCGUGUGGUAAACUGAUGAACCCCGACCCUGAUCAACAUGAGAUGACCGCCGUGUGGUAAACUGAUGAACCCCGACCCUGAUCAACAUGAGAUGACUGCCGUGUGGUAAACUGAUGAACCCUGACCCAUUAGGCUUUGGCUACAGAAUGUGGAAAUAAGUUGUGUUACUACAUGUGUGUAAUCCUAGGGUGCAGGACACCGGCCGGGAGGUUCCAUAGAGUGAUGGGUUCUGCAGGUAACUCAUCCUCUAGUCCUCUGUAAGCUCCUAGAAGGAAGAAAUUAUGUCCUUUAGACUAAUAAAAUUCCUCCAAACCAAAUACAGCACCUACUGUGAAGACACAAAGAUACUUUUAGAAUAGUAAAAACUUUAUCCAUUGAGAAAUUCCUUAAUGAAACAGUAUCCAAGAAGUCAUUUGCCAGCAGAUUUCUUAGAGGUGCGAUAAAGAAGAGGACAUUGCCAGUCGUCACAGCAGCUGCAAUAGCUCCUCUCUAUUGUUAAACAGUGGGAUAUCUUGUGCAGGUUUUCAGUUGACAAUCAAUUUUAAAGAUUAGUUUCGGUCCCCAUCAAUCAAUUAUUUAUUAACCCAUCAAUAAAAAUUUAAAUGCUCUGUGAGGUACAAUAGCUAUUAAAAGAGACAGAGGCACUUUCUGUGUCCAGAGGGGCUUUUAGUCUGCUCUGGAAAGCAAGAUGCGUGCAGAUGAGUGACGCAGUGCAUCGUGUGGAUGCAAAGGGAGGGACUCACAUGGGAACCAGAGGAGCUACGAAGGGAGGCAGUGGGGACUGGUGGGUCGAGACCUGGAAAUAACACAUGAAUAGGCAACAAAGGUUUCCUUUCCUCUUCCAUGCACUUCAGUCCUUGAAAAACGUCUUACCACGGAAUUCCACAGCGUACCAAGCGAUUCCACAGCUUGAUGGCACACUCUCCUUUCUCAGCAUUCUUGAAAAUGGCGUGUGAGCCAAGCCAUCUUACUGAGAAAUUACCUUAAACCAUUUGAUGAACCAAAAAUAUUUUGUAAUACCCAUCUCCGACAUUAGGUAGGCAAAUCACACAGAAACACCGAGGUCUUCUGAGUCAUAUUUAUCUGAAAAAUCACAGCUUGGGUGCAUGUGAAGCCAGAGGAGCACUCCUGGGGCCUGCGGUGCCAUCACUCAGCUCCCCUGGGCUUCACAUGGCCAUGGAGCACCCAGCAAGUGUAGGCUCUGAGCCUUCAGGGAGGGGCGGCAUCAGCCAGCACCAUCGUCUCCUGGGUCUUGUGCCUCUUCCUUGGUUGCGGUGUUGUCAGGGCCAGAAUUGGGCAAUUCCGGGUGACAUCCAGGUGUGGCUGCUGACACGGAGCACAGGACACCCUGCUCCUGUGGUUUGCAGCCCCGGCCUUCUCUUCGAGGACGCCUCUGCUCUUCUGCCUCACACUCGGAUUGGACCUUCUUCAGCACAGCCAGUGGCCGAGGCUUCCUCCCUGGGGCUCAGUGGAGCAGGACAGAUGCUGCAUCCAAACUCUUCCAUUGGGUUCCAGUCUGUUCCAGUCAUGCCCUUGAGCCUCUAAAGCUCCUAGGUGAGAGACGUAGCAGCUGACAGCACUUCCCACUUGAUUUGGGUGGACUCCAGCCUCCCCAGCAACAAUAAGAGAUCAAAAGCAUCGUUGAGGAAGCAGCUUGCUGAAACGCUGAGUGCCCGCCACUCUCAGGUCAGGUGGGACCGGCAGGCCAGCAUGAGUUCCUGAACACUUGGUUCUCAAUACUGGCCACAGCCACACUGUAAGGGGAAACAAGAGGGCACUGUAUGCAAACAUCUCUUGAACUCUGGAGUCUGCUCACCUUCCUGCCUCAAGCCCCUCUCCCACGUGGUCCAGUCACCAUUCUCCACAGAGACUACCCUAAAACCCAGCGACUCUCGUGUGCCUGCAGAAUGGCACAGCCCGUUCUCAUAGCAGCACUCCUGUUUAAUCAGAGGGAUGUUAACGACCAAGUCAUAUUUGCUCGAUUUGUGUUCAACAUAUUUCAUUUGUACCGAUAAAACUUAAAAAUAUCCCCACACAUGCAUUGCCUAUUAAAGAGUAUCUUCCAGGUACACCUCCCUUACACAUCAGUUAACUUGAUAAUUUCUUCCCAUUCUUGUGCAAUAAAUUUCCUUCCUGAUCAGCUCUGUCCAGCAGCAACAAUAAUCCACGUAGAGACAUGCAAACUAAAAGUCCGUUAGUGGAGGCACGAAGCUGAUGAGGCUUGGAAAAAAAUGACCGAUUUGAUUAAAAUUAGGACCCAUGGGAGUGGAGCUCUGCCUAUUUUAGAGGCAAAGUAAAUGCCUGGGAGUCCAAUCACCGACAUUCUGUUUGAGGUUUCUAAUCACAAGGAAGAUGGAGAAAAUGCAGAACAAGUGGUCAAGAACAGGGAGAUAAUAAAUAGAAUAUUUAUGGGCUGAGGAAAACAAUUACCAGGGGAAAGCCCAAGAAGCAAAGAUGAACAGAGAACGUGCUGACUGCGCUCGUUUGGAAAGGCCUCAUGGCCAAAGGAGGAGAGGCAUUAUGAGGAGCAGUGACCGAGUGGGCAGGACCCCCGGGGAUCAGGAAAGGUGCACGGGGGGAAAUGAGAGGCCUGAGCGGCUUCCCAGCGAAGGUUUUUGAAGCACGGUUUGAUUUUCUCUCUCCCCCUCACCAUCCCCAAAUUUUAGUUGUGACUAUCUCCAGGUACAUGGCUUGCGACAGGCGGUGUAUAAAAACUAAUGUCAGUUUAAUUUUAAAACCUUAGCCAUUUUCUGGAACUUAAAUAUCAAAGAGAAAAUGUCCACAUAUGAUGUUAAUUGAGGUUUGUCUCACUGGUGAUUUGUGCUGAUUCAAUUCCUGUUUCUUUUUUUUUUUCUUAAGGGGUCAGUUUUAGAAUUGGGAGAUAGGUGUAUAACAUAUGACUAUACAGCGCAGGUUGGUUUUUUAACAUAGAAAUAUCUGCCUUUAAAUGAGAACUGAAAACGGAGCUUCUUGGAGGCCACCUGCUGGUGGCAGUGAUCUGACCGCUGUUUAAGCUUUCUUUGAACUCCUUUUUUUAAAACAGCCUCCAUAAUCAAUGGUGUACGAUCUACUCUCGUGGUAAAACUUACUCAGUGAAGAGUGUGUUUUAUUUUCUGAGGAGCUGAACUGUUCCAACCUGAGUAUUCUGAAUAAGGACAGUGGUCGAGCAUGAGUGAUGCCAUCUGGGCUUAGAAAUAAGUGGGCCUAAAAUCUGAUUGUUUUCAUACAUUGUUCAGAUAUUGACGCAAAUAGCAAUUUAUUUUGUAAAAAAUGAUUGGUAUCCGGAACUUGCAACAGCUGUGUGUGGCUUGAAGGGAGAUGAAGUGGUGAAGGCCUGGUUUCCACCGAAGCUCUCACAGCCCAGCCUUUCACUGUGUGGCCGGGGGAAGGGUGCUCCGGGUGGGGGACGGGAAUGGUGGGACUGGGGAUGCCACGGGACAAGGCUGCUGGCCUGGAAGGUAGUCACGUGGAGAACCGCAGGAGAUGAGAUUGGAAAGUAGUAAUAAGCCAUGUGGAUAAGAACAGAGGAGCGGGUUUUAAGGGGGACGUCCUGAAAUGCUGCUCAUGUCGUUUCAGUUCCAUAGACCACAGGAAAUGCAGGUGAGAGGGCAGCCCGGUGGGAAGGAAGGAAGAGGGUGGUGGUGAGCCAGGUGAGUGUGGAGCCGCCCAGGGCACCGUGCUGUGCGAUAGCUCAGGCAUCGGGUGCUUCUGCCAAACCCUUCAGCAGCUGGUUUGGGGCCAAACGUCCUUCCUGUGUGAGAGAAGGCAGAGCCUAGGCAGCAUUCCAAACCCCAUCCAGAUGGGAGGCUGAGUGCAGAGCAAACGGAGCCCAGCACUCCAGAGCCGUGUCCCUUCACUGCCAUGAUCACAUCACAAACAGCGAGGCUUGGAGAGGACUUAAGAGCUCCUUCAAUGCCAUCUUCCAUCCACUGCGUGAGCCAGAAUAGAAAAAAAGGAAUAAGAAGAGGUCGGUUAAGCUCUCUAUUAAGUUGAGAAAAUGGGAACUUCAGGUGAUCAUGUGAGAUAUUCAAGUUAAAAAAAUUAUUUAAAAAGCACAUUCUUAUUAUUAAAAUUUUAGAAAGUACAGAGAAGGAAAUUUUAAUAACCUACACCUAGAACACUAAGAUACUGGUAACGUAGAAAAAUGUGUAGUUAAUGCCUUGAUGGAUUCUUUUCUAUUUUUUUCUCUAGCAAUAUUUAUGUCUAUCCACAGAAAGCGUACACUCAUGUAUUUGCAUGGCUAAUAUAUUUUAUGUAAAGUUCUAUAUAUUUCUCAACAUUUCACUUAAUAUUUCUUUAUAA